ACUAGCGAUUCCGACUUCAUGGAGUCGAGUUGCAGACUCCAAUCCGGACUACGACGCACUUUAUGAGGUCCGCUUGCUCUCGCGAGGUCGCUUCUCUUUGUAUGCGCCAUUGUAGCACGUGUGUAGCCCUACUCGUAAGGGCCAUGAUGACUUGACGUCAUCCCCACCUUCCUCCAGUUUAUCACUGGCAGUCUCCUUUGAGUUCCCGGCCGAACCGCUGGCAACAAAGGAUAAGGGUUGCGCUCGUUGCGGGACUUAACCCAACAUUUCACAACACGAGCUGACGACAGCCAUGCAGCACCUGUCUCAGAGUUCCCGAAGGCACCAAUCCAUCUCUGGAAAGUUCUCUGGAUGUCAAGAGUAGGUAAGGUUCUUCGCGUUGCAUCGAAUUAAACCACAUGCUCCACCGCUUGUGCGGGCCCCCGUCAAUUCAUUUGAGUUUUAACCUUGCGGCCGUACUCCCCAGGCGGUCGACUUAACGCGUUAGCUCCGGAAGCCACGCCUCAAGGGCACAACCUCCAAGUCGACAUCGUUUACGGCGUGGACUACCAGGGGUAUCUAAUCCUGUUUGCUCCCCACGCUUUCGCACC
rnacentral:rRNA from 1 species